rnacentral:rRNA from 1 species
GACGAACGCUGGCGGCGUGCCUAAUACAUGCCAGUUGAGCGCUGACGCUUGGUACUUGUACCAACUGGAUGAGCAGCGAACGGGUGAGUAACGAGUGGGGAAUCUGCUUUUGUGUGGGGGACAACAUUUGGAAACGAAUGCUACUACCGCAUAAAAACUUUAAACACAAGAUUUAAGUUUGAAUGAUGCCAUUGCCUCACUCAAAGAUGAUCCCGCGUUGUAUUAGCUAGGUGGUGAGGUAAAGGCUCACCAAAGCGGUGGUACAUAGCCGACCUGAGAGGGUGAACGGGCACAAUGGGAAUGGGAAAAGGCUCAAACUUCCAAGGGGGGCAGCAAGAGGGAAUCUUCGGCAAUGGGCGAAAGGCUGGCCCAGCAACGCCGGGGGAGUGAAGAAAGGUUUUGGAGCGGAAAACUCUGUUUGUAGGGAAGGACGUGGGGGAGGGUGGAAAGCUCAUCAAGUGACGGUAACUACCCAGAAAGCGACGGCUAACUACGUG